GAUGAAGAACGUAGCGAAUGCGAUACGUAAUGUGAAUUGCAGAAUUCAGUGAAUCAUCGAGUCUUUGAACGCACAUUGCGCCCCCUGGUAUUCCGGGGGGCAUGCCUGUCCGAGCGUCAUUGCUGCCCUCAAGCACGGCUUGUGUGUUGGGCCUCCGUCCUCCUCCCGGGGGACGGGCCCGAAAGGCAGCGGCGGCACCGCGUCCGGUCCUCGAGCGUAUGGGGCUUCGUCACCCGCUCUUGUAGGCCCGGCCGGCGCUUGCCGACACAUCAAUCUUUUUUCCAGGUUGACCUCGGAUCAGGUAGGGGUACCCGCUGAACUUAAGCAUAUCAAUAAGCGGAGGA
rnacentral:misc_RNA from 1 species